CAAAGUCAGACGCUGAACCGACUGAACCACCCAGGUGCCCCUGCCCUCUUGUCUUUUCAAGGGAGACAUAGCGAGUUGUGAAUUUUGUCCUGAAGAAGUGCAUGAGAUAGAGGAACUGAUCUUCAUUUAGGAAAGUCCCCGGCGAGCAGUUUAUUUCCUGGAGUAUUUUCUCAUCUUUGUUUUACACAGCGUGUAGGCAGAGUAAUGGCCACCAGAGAUGUCCACGCCCUAAUCUCUAGAACCUGUUACCUUACGUGGCGAAAAGGGAUUUUUCAGAUGUGAUUAAGUUAAGAACCUUGAGACAAGGAGAGCAUGCUGGAAUAUCCAGGUGGGCCCAAUAUAAUCACAUGAAUCCUUAAAAGUAGAGAACCUUUCCCAGAUGAGUUGGAUGCAAACGCAACAUUACUGGCUUUGCAGAUGGAGGAAGGGGCUUGGAGCCAACCAGGCAGACAGCCUACAGAAGCUGGAAAAGGCAAGGAAAUGGAUCCUCCCCUAGAACCUCCAGAAGAGAAUCAAGUUCUGCCAACACAUUGAUUUUGGAUCAGAGAGAACUUCCUGGUAGUUUGUAUUGGCUGCGAGAUAUUUUCCUCUGGGAGAGUCUGAAGCAACUGGAGCUUGUUGACCCUGGAGGUGAAAUGCUGGAGGAUCAUCUCAGGUGAAAUUGUGUUUAUUCUUACAAGACUCCAUUUGAAACCAAAUGAAGUGUGUCCCUUCCCCAACCUGCUCAAGUCUGAAAUCUAAUGGAAAAUAUGACCCGUGGAUACUAAGUAAAAUGUAAUGUCUGUCCCUAACACUAACAAAUAAAUGAAUAUUCUGUAACCAAGUAAGAUGAAUAUCCUGGCUCUGUCUGAAGCGAAUUGAUUCAGUUUGUUUCUGAAUGUGUUUUCUGCUGGCCACCAUAAAUUUAUCAUAACAUAGUAGAUUUUACGCAUUGCUAUUUGGAGUUUAUUUUCUGAAAAAUUGUCAAAAUUUAUUCUCAAAAUUAUGUUUUGUGAAAGUCAACGUAUAUGAUCCAGGAUUUGCUUUUAUUUGGAGUUUAUCUCUCCUCCUUGGGCCCAAAGCACCUGGGCUGAAAAAUACUAUUAGUUUUCUUGUAUUGUAUGUGUGAGGGUGAGUGUGAGUGUGUGAGAGACAGAGAGCGUGUGUGCAUACGGAAGCAUACGGUAGGUAGGAUCAAAGGUGUGGAAUAAAGUAGCUCUGUGUUUGAAUGCAUCACUCCCAGAGGGUGAUAUUCAGCAAGUUACUGAGUCCCUCUGGACUUCACUUUUCACAGAAUGGGAUUAAAAGAAGCUAUGUGAUAGGGUUAUUGUGAGGCUUAAAAAGAAUACAUUUUAAGCACCUCUUACAAAAUAGUUCCUCAUUAAAUAGUAGGUAAUUUUAGCCUUCA